rnacentral:rRNA from 1 species
CGUAACAAUAACGGUCCUAAGGUAGCGAAAUUCCUUGUCGGGUAAGUUCCGACCCGCACGAAAGGCGUAAUGAUUUGAGCGCUGUCUCGACAAUGCAUCCGGUGAAAUUGAAGUACCAGUGAAGAUGCUGGUUACCCGCGCCAGGACGGAAAGACCCCAUGGAGCUUUACUCCAGUUUGGUACUGGGGUCCGGUAUUGCAUGUACAGGAUAGGUGGGAGGCUGUGAACCUGGAACGCCAGUUUCAGGGGAGCCGCUGUUGGGAUACCACCCUUGUGCUACUGGGCUUCUAACCAGCCGCCGUAAACCGGUGGGGGGACAAUGCCAGGCGGGGAGUUUGACUGGGGCGGUCGCCUCCGAAAGGGUAUCGGAGGCGCCCAAAGGUUCCCUCAGAAUGGUCGGAAACCAUUCGAAGAGUGCAAAGGCAGAAGGGAGCUUGACUGCGACACCGACGGGUGGAGCAGGUACGAAAGUAGGACUUAGUGAUCCGGUGGUAUUAAGUGGGAAUGCCAUCGCUCAACGGAUAAAAGCUACCCUGGGGUUGACUGGAUUUGACAGCGUGGCUAAGUGGUAUGUAAGCAUGCAGUG